AACUCCUAUACUUAGUGGUUAACACCUGAAAUUAAGUUAGACUGAGUUCUAAACGCUGUGCUUUUUUUAACCAGCUUGCAGAGUGUGACCACAGUUACAAACCACAAACCCAAAACCAGCUCAGAAGAAAGUGAAGUAGUUAGCGUUCAGGAGCAAGAAGGGAUUAUGUCUUCAUUUGAAUUAGCAGCACAGUCUUCAAAAGCAAAUCAGGCAACAGCAGGCCCUUCUUACUGUUUUGAAGUGUUUUGCUUGCAUACUAUACACCAUAGUGUUAUGAUGCUGAUCAACGUUAGGAAAAAAAACUCAAAAAACCUGCUUUACAUGUACAAAAUCUUCUGAUGAUCUCACCUAACUGUCCUUCAAAAAAGC
rnacentral:lncRNA from 1 species